rnacentral:snRNA from 1 species
GGGUGUGAGGGUGAUCUGGCUGCAACAUCUGUCACCCAAUUGAUUGCCAGGGUUGAUUUGGCUAAUCUGGCUGGCUAGGCAGGUGUCCCCUUCCUCCCUCACCACUCGGUGGAAGAGGAUGACGUCCCAGGUAUAGAAGGAGUGUACCGAGGUCUCCAGUCUUCAGUCCCGGGUAUACGAUAA